UUUCCAGUCCUGCGGCCUUCUCCCCAUCUCUACUCACCUUUCCAGGUCACUGGUUCAUGCUUCUUUCGGUCUUCAGGGAGGCCCGAGCUCAGCGGUGUUUACAAACUACCCCUGGAGGAAAGGGCUGAACCGCACUUUAAAGGCCACGGGCUCCCACAGGCUUCCGUCCUCUCUCGCGAGAUCGGACUGACACCCCUUCCCUUCUCCCCGCCCCACUCCCGGCAUCCCCCCUUUCUUCUCGGCGCCCCUCCCCUCCACCGCACACGCCCCUUCUUGCCUUCUAUCUGAUGGAGCGCCUCCGGGUCAGCCUGAGAGAAGGUGUCUCCGUUAAGCUGUGGUUUGGAAGAGGCGGAGUUUGCCUCAGAGUAUCCCCAAGCAUAAAGCGGGAAAGCAAGAGGAGUCCGUUUCAAAAAGAGAAAAGGCCUGUACGUUGGAUGGCGUUCGGUCGAAUUUUACUAAGCUAUAACUGAAGCUCUCUGAUUCCUCUCUCUCUGCCCCUCCCCCGCUCAUACUCUCCCCCUCCCUUAAAAAUAAACAUUAAAAAAUAAAUA